CCAAUAGCGUAUAUUAAAGUUGUUGCAGUUAAAAAGCUCGUAGUUGAAUUUCGGGAUCAAUAUGUUGGUCGUGCCUUGGUACGUACUGGCAUUAUUGGUUCCUACCUUCUGAAGAACCUCGAUGUCAUUAAUUUGGUGUCUUGGGGAAUCAGGACUGUUACUUUGAAAAAAUUAGAGUGUUUAAAGCAGGCUCGCGCUUGAAUACAUUAGCAUGGAAUAAUGAAAUAGGACGUUUGAUUCUAUUUUGUUGGUUUCUAGGAUCGACGUAAUGAUUAAUAGGGAUAGUUGGGGGCAUUAGUAUUCAAUUGUCAGAGGUGAAAUUCUUGGAUUUAUUGAAGACUGACUACUGCGAAAGCAUUUGCCAAGGAUGUUUUCAUUAAUCAAGAACGAAAGUUAGGGGAUCGAAGACGAUCAGAUACCGUCGUAGUCUUAACCAUAAACUAUGCCGACUAGGGAUCGGAUGAUGUUAAUUUUUUAAUGACUCAUUCGGCGCCUUACG
rnacentral:rRNA from 2 species